AUGCAGUGAUGUAUGAAUUUCUUCACCUGAUACCUGAUGCUUUUGAGCUUUUUAACCCUGAGCAUU